rnacentral:lncRNA from 1 species
AGUUGAUUUGACUUCAUUUUUCAGGGCGUGUACGGCACACUCGCGCUCAACAAUAAAGGUUUUCUACAUCAAAGUCUGUCUGGAAUCAGUUUCGCCAGGUACCUUCGUGCACAAACGCUGUUUUUAAAAGUCACUGCCGAAGCUUUCAGUCUCCUGAGAAACAUCAGAGCCAGCAGCAAAUGUCAGAAGGACUAGCCGAGUUGAGGCUGCUCUCCUCGGGUUACAUGAGCACUGAGCGCCGGCUGAUCGCGUGGAGCUCCCGUCUAGAGACUUGCACUCCCGCAUAUGCUCAACCACACAGAAAAAUUAAGUGAAGCUCCUCCCACAACAGUAUCACCUUCAGUGAAGCUCCUCCCACAACAGUAUCACCUUCAGUGAAGCUCCUCCCACAACAAUCACACCUCCAGUGAAACUCCUCCCACAAGCACAUCUUCAGUGAAGCUCCUCCCACAGCAAUCUCACCUUCAGUGAAGCUCCUCCCACAACAGUAUCACCUUCAGUGAAGCUCCUCCCACAACAAUCACACCUUCAGUGAAGCUCCUCCCACAACAAUCACACCUUAGGUGAAGCUCCUCCCACUGCAGUUCAUCAAUAAAUGCUGGAAUAUUCCCAUCAGUCUACAAGUGAAGACGAGCAUCAAAGCAUCAGGAAGAAGUGAAAUCUGCAGAGACAGAGUUUAUUGAAGGACAGAGAGAACAUGAGAGAUCCAGAACCCUGCAGAAUGAAACACACUGAAGAACAAACAGGUUGGUGUUUAUUCUUGAUCCUUCAUCAGUGAAGCUGAAGAACAAUAAGAUGAUAAACAUC